rnacentral:rRNA from 1 species
GUGCCAGCAGCCGCGGUAAUACGGGGGGGGCAAGCGUUGUUCGGAAUUACUGGGCGUAAAGGGCUCGUAGGCGGCCAACUAAGUCGGACGUGAAAUCCCUCGGCUCAACCGAGGAACUGCGUCCGAUACUGGAUGGCUUGAAUCCGGGAGAGGGAUGCAGAAUUCCAGGUGUAGCGGUGAAAUGCGUAGAUAUCUGGAGGAAUACCGGUGGCGAAGGCGGCAUCCUGGACCGGCAUUGACGCUGAGGAGCGAAAGCCAGGGGAGCAAACGGGAUUAGAAACCCGCGUAGUCC